rnacentral:misc_RNA from 1 species
GAUGAAGAACGUAGUGAAAUGCGAUACGUAGUGUGAAUUGCAGAAUUCAGUGAAUCAUCGAAUCUUUGAACGCACAUUGCACCUCUCGGUAUUCCGGGAGGUAUGCCUGUUCGAGCGUCAUUUGUACCCUCAAGCUCUGCUUGGUGUUGGGUGUUUGUUCCGCCUCUGUGUGUGAACUCGCCUCAAAACAAUUGGCAGCCGGCGUACUUGUUUCGGAGCGCAGCACAUUUUGCGAUCCAGAUCAACGUACAGCGGCAUCCAAGAAGCCUUAUUUAACGCUCUUGACCUCGGAUCAGGUAGGGAUACCCGCUGAACUUAAGCAUAUCAAUAAGCGGAGG